UUGUGGCCUCCGCACCGCCCCAACGUCGACACCUCCGUCCUCCCCCUCUACUCCCAGCGCACCACCGCCGCGUAUGCGCUAUCCCACCCGAUGGACGUGUUGCCGCCUCUGCAGCACGCCCUGUCGCUGCCGACCCCGCCCAGCCAUGCAUUUGGAGUUUACAAUGUGGAGACAUGGUUUAUCCACCGGACGGCGAGGUUGGUGCGCGGAUGGCGAGGGAGGACCUCCACUGGGCCUACUCCACACCUCUUCCUGUCUACCGAGGUCGAGCACAUGGAGGACCUGCUCCGCUGUCGGGCACUCCUGAGCCAGCGACUACAAAAUCCACUCUGCCGUGAUGGCAUGGGAGGCUGGCAAGUCGAUUCUUUGUAUAUAGUUAGUAUUGCCAAUCAUAAGAAACAAAUCUUAUUAUUGCACUCCAGCAAUAAAAGGGCCAGAUGCUAUUAUUGUUGGCUAUAUCAGACAGUUUGUCAUCAAGCCUUUGUUUGGAUUCCUUUUUGGCACUCUUAUGGAGUACUAAGCUACACUGAAGAAUUUGGGCUUAAGAGUGAGGUUUUGAAGGUGACUCUUGCAACUGACGUCGUGAACUGA
rnacentral:misc_RNA from 1 species